rnacentral:rRNA from 1 species
AUUGAACGCUGGCGGCAUGCCUUACACAUGCAAGUCGAACGGCAGCACGGGUGCUUGCACCUGGUGGCGAGUGGCGAACGGGUGAGUAAUACAUCGGAACAUGUCCUGUAGUGGGGGAUAGCCCGGCGAAAGCCGGAUUAAUACCGCAUACGAUCCACGGAUGAAAGCGGGGGACCUUCGGGCCUCGCGCUAUAGGGUUGGCCGAUGGCUGAUUAGCUAGUUGGUGGGGUAAAGGCCUACCAAGGCGACGAUCAGUAGCUGGUCUGAGAGGACGACCAGCCACACUGGGAGUGAGACACGGCCCAGACUCCUACGGGAGGCAGCAGUGGGGAAUUUUGGACAAUGGGCGAAAGCCUGAUCCAGCAAUGCCGCGUGUGUGAAGAAGGCCUUCGGGUUGUAAAGCACUUUUGUCCGGAAAGAAAUCCUUGGCUCUAAUACAGUCGGGGGAUGACGGUACCGGAAGAAUAAGCACCGGCUAACUACGUG